CAAUAGCGUAUAUUUAAGUUGUUGCAGUUAAAAAGCUCGUAGUCGGAUUUUGGCUGAGAACGAACGGUCCGCCGUUAGGUGUGCACUGUUUGGCCUCAGCUUCCUGGUGAGGAGGUGUGCUUCACGGCCACUUAGUCACCGUGGUUACUUUGAAAAAAUUAGAGUGUUCAAAGCGGGCUUACGCUUGAAUAUAUUAGCAUGGAAUAACACCAUAGGACUCCUGUCCUAUUUCGUUGGUCUCGGGACGGGAGUAAUGAUUAAGAGGAACAGUUGGGGGCAUUCGUAUUUCAUUGUCAGAGGUGAAAUUCUUGGAUUUAUGAAAGACGAACUUCUGCGAAAGCAUUUGCCAAGGAUGUUUUCAUUGA
rnacentral:rRNA from 1 species